UACGUAGGGUGCAAGCGUUGUCCGGAAUUAUUGGGCGUAAAGAGCUCGUAGGCGGUCUGUCGCGUCUGCUGUGAAAACCUGGGGCUUAACCCCGGGCCUGCAGUGGGUACGGGCAGACUAGAGUGUGGUAGGGGAGACUGGAAUUCCUGGUGUAGCGGUGAAAUGCGCAGAUAUCAGGAGGAACUCCGGUGGCGAAGGCGGCAUACUGGACCACCACUGACGCUGAUGCGCGAAAGCCAGGGGAGCAAACGGG
rnacentral:rRNA from 1 species